UCGAGCGGACAGAAGGGAGCUUGCUCCCGGAUGUUAGCGGCGGACGGGUGAGUAACACGUGGGUAACCUGCCUGUAAGACUGGGAUAACUCCGGGAAACCGGAGCUAAUACCGGAUAGUUCCUUGAACCGCAUGGUUCAAGGAUGAAAGACGGUUUCGGCUGUCACUUACAGAUGGACCCGCGGCGCAUUAGCUAGUUGGUGAGGUAACGGCUCACCAAGGCGACGAUGCGUAGCCGACCUGAGAGGGUGAUCGGCCACACUGGGACUGAGACACGGCCCAGACUCCUACGGGAGGCAGCAGUAGGGAAUCUUCCGCAAUGGACGAAAGUCUGACGGAGCAACGCCGCGUGAGUGAUGAAGGUUUUCGGAUCGUAAAGCUCUGUUGUUAGGGAAGAACAAGUGCAAGAGUAACUGCUUGCACCUUGACGGUACCUAACCAGAAAGCCACGGCUAACUACGUGCCAGCAGCCGCGGUAAUACGUAGGUGGCAAGCGUUGUCCGGAAUUAUUGGGCGUAAAGGGCUCGCAGGCGGUUUCUUAAGUCUGAUGUGAAAGCCCCCGGCUCAACCGGGGAGGGUCAUUGGAAACUGGGAAACUUGAGUGCAGAAGAGGAGAGUGGAAUUCCACGUGUAGCGGUGAAAUGCGUAGAGAUGUGGAGGAACACCAGUGGCGAAGGCGACUCUCUGGUCUGUAACUGACGCUGAGGAGCGAAAGCGUGGGGAGCGAACAGGAUUAGAUACCCUGGUAGUCCACGCCGUAAACGAUGAGUGCUAAGUGUUAGGGGGUUUCCGCCCCUUAGUGCUGCAGCUAACGCAUUAAGCACUCCGCCUGGGGAGUACGGUCGCAAGACUGAAACUCAAGGAAUUGACGGGGGCCCGCACAAGCG
rnacentral:rRNA from 1 species